rnacentral:lncRNA from 1 species
CAUGGAACAGUCUGAAUUUCCCCCACUCUCAGCAGGGAAUGCCGGGCUUGAAACUAGGAAAACAAGGUGCCAGAACAAGAGGGGGAAGACACACUUCUGCAAAAUCAGAUGGCAGCUACUCUGAUUUCUGAACAGAAGCACUGUUCUACACUAUCAGAAAUAACUGUGUUUAGAUAACAGUGUUAUCUAAAUAAUACCUGUGCGCUACAGGUAGCUUUUGAAACCGAUGAGGAAGGUGCCUUUCAUCUUUGGAUACUAAAGGAGGUGAGUGGGCAUGGUGGGGCCAAGCUGGUGACAGCACCAUCAAUUUCCCCCUUUUC